rnacentral:lncRNA from 1 species
CAGAAUGUGUUUUAAACCUAGUGAUGGCAUUCCCAAGCCAGUGGUGGUUGUCUCUGGUGGACACAGGGCACAAAUCACAGAACAUGGUGAAUCCAAAGUACCCAGUUACACUAAGCAGGGUCUCAUCAGCUGAAGAGUCAUCCAUCAGGGAAACCCCAGAGCUGGUCUCCAGGUCCUUCCUGAGUGGAGGGCUGUAAGUAGCACACCCUGUCUCACCAAUACUUUGUAAUUUAAGAAAAUAAGGCUGACCUCUAGGGAUUGAACUGUGAAACCACUGUAAACCAAGCCACCAUGAAAAUGAAAUGCUGCCAUCAUGGGAUGAAAGAGCUCUGCAAAUAGGAGAGCACAAUGUGGGAGCACUUGGGGAGAUACCUAAGUGAGAAGGUGCCACAUAGAAGUCUUAAGAUGAAUUGUUGAAAGCCAAUUACUGUAUCUUGUGGGUGAUAGCCAAAGGAUAAUAUGUCACAACAAUUUAUCCACACUGAGGCACUGGCUCAUGGAGCACUUCUCAAUACCAAACAGAAAUAGAUGGUAUUUACAGAAUAAGGUUUCUAAAAAGACAUCCUGCUCUUAAAUAGGAUGAAAUUUGCACAGAUAGAAAAAGGAGGGAUAGGGAUCUGGUCGUUUAGUUCAGACUCUAGCAGGAGGUACACCAUGACCACAUUGUAAUUGGACUAAAGGGGAUUACUCCUAAUUAGCAGAUCUAAGAGCUUACAAGACUUUUUGAAUAGGAAAGGAUGUGCUUCACAUUCCAAAGUUACUUCAUUAGAAAAAGCAGGGUUGCCCACAAAGGGGAAGUUUAAACCAAGCUUGUUUACAUGUUGCAUGGCAAGGCGGGAUGGGACAAACUUGGAUAAAGGAAGAAAGAAGUAGUUGUUUGCUCUGGACUAGCAUAGAGGCAUUUGAAAAUUCAAGAAUGAGAAAACACAAUGAGACGAAAUAAGUAAUAUGAUACAUUCUGAUAACUAAAAGAUCCAAUACAGCAGAAAAGCCACACACUGGAACUAUAAUUGCACAGGAUACUACUACAAAUCAUCUAAAAGGAUUUCACUAACAGGUAAGCUUAGAAACAAAAUUAAACAUUUUGCA